rnacentral:rRNA from 1 species
GACGAACGCUGGCGGCGUGCUUAACACAUGCAAGUCGAACGGUAAGGCCCUUCGGGGUACACGAGUGGCGAACGGGUGGGUACACGUGGGUGAUCUGCCCUGCACUUCGGGAUAAGCCUGGGAAACUGGGUCUAAUACCGGAUAGGACCACUGCCUGCAUGGGUGGUGGUGGAAAGCUUUUGCGGUGUGGGAUGGGCCCGCGGCCUAUCAGCUUGUUGGUGGGGUGAUGGCCUACCAAGGCGACGACGGGUAGCCGGCCUGGGAGGGUGACCGGCCACACUGGGACUGAGAUACGGCCCAGACUCCUACGGGAGGCAGCAGUGGGGAAUAUUGCACAAUGGGCGCAAGCCUGAUGCAGCGACGCCGCGUGAGGGAUGACGGCCUUCGGGUUGUAAACCUCUUUCAGCACCGACGAAGCGCAAGUGACGGUAGGUGCAGAAGAAGGACCGGCCAACUACGUGCCAGCCGCCGCAGUAA